rnacentral:rRNA from 1 species
UUCGGACCAAGAGACCGGCGCACGGGUGCGUAACGCGUAUGCAAUCUACCUUUCACAGAGGGAUAGCCCAGAGAAAUUUGGAUUAAUACCUCAUAGUAUUACAGUUUCGCAUGAAACUACAAUUAAAGUCACAACGGUGAAAGAUGAGCAUGCGUCCCAUUAGCUAGAUGGUAAGGUAACGGCUUACCAUGGCUACGAUGGGUAGGGGUCCUGAGAGGGAGAUCCCCCACACUGGUACUGAGACACGGACCAGACUCCUACGGGAGGCAGCAGUGAGGAAUAUUGGUCAAUGGACGCAAGUCUGAACCAGCCAUGCCGCGUGCAGGAUGACGGUCCUAUGGAUUGUAAACUGCUUUUGUACAGGAAGAAACAACAUUACGUGUAAUGUCUUGACGGUACUGUAAGAAUAAGGAUCGGCUAACUCCGUGCCAGCAGCCGCGGUAAUACGGAGGAUCCAAGCGUUAUCCGGAAUCAUUGGGUUUAAAGGGUCCGUAGGCGGUUUAGUAAGUCAGUGGUGAAAGCCCAUCGCUCAACGGUGGAACGGCCAUUGAUACUGCUAGACUUGAAUUAUUAGGAAGUAACUAGAAUAUGUAGUGUAGCGGUGAAAUGCUUAGAGAUUACAUGGAAUACCAAUUGCGAAGGCAGGUUACUACUAAUUGAUUGACGCUGAUGGACGAAAGCGUGGGUAGCGAACAGGAUUAGAUACCCUGGUAGUCCACGCCGUAAACGAUGGAUACUAGCUGUUGGGGGCAACUUCAGUGGCUAAGCGAAAGUGAUAAGUAUCCCACCUGGGGAGUACGAACGCAAGUUUGAAACUCAAAGGAAUUGACGGGGGCCCGCACAAGCGGUGGAGCAUGUGGUUUAAUUCGAUGAUACGCGAGGAACCUUACCAAGGCUUAAAUGUAGAUUGACCGGUUUGGAAACAGACUUUUCGCAAGA